UACAGAGGUCUCAAGCGUUGUUCGGAUUCAUUGGGCGUAAAGGGUGCGUAGGCGGCGCGGUAAGUCGGGUGUGAAAUCUCGGAGCUUAACUCCGAAACUGCAUUCGAUACUGCCGUGCUUGAGGACUGGAGAGGAGACUGGAAUUUACGGUGUAGCGGUGAAAUGCGUAGAUAUCUGGAAGAACACCGGUGGCGAAGGCGGUCAACUGGCCCUCAACUGACGCUGAGGCACGAAAGCGUGGGGAUCAACAGG
rnacentral:rRNA from 1 species